rfam:Ipomoea nil DNA, scaffold: scaffold2792, cultivar: Tokyo-kokei standard.
AUCCCAUGAUGUGGGCACUGCCUCCUCAAUUCUUUGAAUCUCUCCCAAGACUCAGUUAAGGACUCAGUUGCCAGUUGCUUAAAAUUUUGAAUUUCCCUUCUCAUCCU